CAAAUUCAGCUGAGUUUGAUCGGU
rnacentral:siRNA from 1 species